rnacentral:misc_RNA from 1 species
AGCAGCCGCGGUAAUUCCAGCUCCAAUAGCGUAUAUUAAAGUUGUUGCAGUUAAAAGCUCGUAGUUGAAUUUCGGGAUUGACGUAAUGGUCGUGCCUUAAGGGGUAUGAACUGUUACUGUUGAUUUCUCACCUUCUGGAGAAUCUUGAUGUCCUUAAUUGGGUGUCUUGUGGAUCCAGGACCUUUA